UACAGCGAUAUCGCAUUGAAACACCGGCUCUCGACGAUCACCGAAGUUAAGCAACGUCGAGCAUGGUCAGUACCUAGAUAGGUGACCGGUUGUGAAUACCAGGUGCUGCAAGC